GCCCUCGUCGACUUCGCCGGAGCCCUCACGGAGCACCCACGAUUCUCCUCGCUGAAGUGCCCACGAUUCUCCUCGCCGAAGCACCAGUUCUCCUCACUGAAGUGCCCUCGCGAUUCUCCUCACCGAAGCCCUUGCGAUUCUCCUCACCGAAGUGCGAUUCUCCUCACCGAAGCCCUUGCGAUUCUCCUCGCCAAAGUGCCCUCGCAAUUCUCCUCUCCAAAGCUCUCCUCGCCGCGCCCUCGCUGCGACGACUAUGGGCCCUAAGGCGCCCUCUGUGCGGCUGGAAUGCUGGAUUGCCUCAUUAUUUCACACUUCUGCAGACUCUAAGGAAACCUCAUGGGUGCAAGUCUAGCUUUUGAAGGCAUGGAUUUUGAGAUUGCCAUUAUAGUUUGUAUUGUUUUGUGUGGCUUUGUUUAUCUCUGUUAGAAUUUGAGGAAGUGGUGUAAGAAUGGAGGGUGGUGGAGUUGUGUUUGAAUUUGCUAUAGGUUUUUGUUAUUCUGUGAGAUAUUGUGAUUGUUUUGAUUUUAUGAUGUGGCAUGGGUGGACUUCUGAUUGUGAGACUU